UAAAAAGUUAUUUUUACUUUAAAUUGCAAAACACAAAAUAAACCCAACUUUAGGAAACUUCCAAAUUAUCUCUCACUGUCACACUUCUCUCACUGUCACAAGCACCUCCGACGUCUAGCGGUACUUCUCCGUCGUCACCAUCGCACUCCUCCGGCGUCUCCUCACAGCUCUAUUAACUUCAGCUACUCACGAGAUUCAAAAUGGGAUAGGUGUUGUAAGCUACCGCAACAGCAAAAUCUAUCGGACUGUGGGCUUUUUUUACUACACUAUGUGGAGAGUUUUUUGGAGGAAGAUCCUGCUGGUAUCAACCCAUACAACAUAAAGAACUAUCACAACGAAUUUGUCUGACCUCCCUUUCAAUAUUUGCUUUAUCUUGAACUGGAGCUGGAACUGGAGAGCUGCUAGAUCUUGUUUGUUUAAGGAUAAAGAAAAUUGAGGUGAUAUUGUCUGCUAAUUUUGUUUUUUCGAUGGAUAAAUCUUGGAUUAGAAUGCCAAGGACCACAAAGGAAUAUCUGGUUGGUUUGAAUCAGUUUUUGGAAUUUGCUUUUAAAAAUGGAGCUAUAGAAGAUAGAAUAAAAUGCCUGUGUCCUCAAUGUUGUUUUGGAAAAUGGCAGACUAGAGAGGUAGUAUUUGAUCACUUGAUUUGCAAGCCAUUUCCUCAAAAUUUUGUCAUUUGGGUUAUGCAUGGGGAAACAAGUGUGUUACAAAAUUCUAAAAGAAGAGAGUUUACUCAGGAUACACUGCCUCCAAAAAAUCCUGUAGAAUUAUUGAUUAACGAAGCAUUUCAUGGCUUUAGGCAAGAGAGAUUUGAUGUAGGUCCAUCGCAAAUAGUGGCAGAAGAAGAGAUAUUAAAGGAUAUACCCACAUCAUAUGACAAAGACUUUUUUGAGUUGCUCAAAGAUGGAAGGGAAGAAUUGUAUGAAGGGUCUAAGUACUCAAAAUUAGAGUUUUUGUUAAAGUUAUAUCACAUAAAGUGUUUGUCUAGUCUAAGUGACAAAGGAAUGACUAUGAUAUUGGAUCUACUCAGGGAUGCCUUUGAAUUUGCAAAGAUCCCUGAUUCUUUUUAUGAGGCUAAGAAAACUAUCAACAAGUUAUGUCUUGAUUAUGUUAAGAUUGAUGCUUUUCCAAAUGAUUGCAUGUUGUAUUGGGGAGAUGAUGUUAAUGAGGAAACAUGCAAGCAUUGUCAUACUUCGAGAUGGAAGCUUGAUGAGAAGAAUACAAACAUUAAAGUGGUUGCUAGGGGUAAGAAGUAAAAAAAGAGACCUGCAAAAAUUUUGCGUUACUUUCCAUUAAAGCCAAGAUUACAAAGACUGUUCAUGUGCUCUAAGAUGGCAGAACAUAUGAGGUGGCAUACGGAAGGUGGUAACAAAGAUGGAAUUUUAAGGCAUCCUAGAGAUGGUGAAGCAUGGAAGAGAUUUGAUACAACUUAUCCUGAAUUUGCUUUUGAAUCUCGAAAUGUUCGAUUAGGGUUAGCUAGUGAUGGUUUUAAUCCCUUUGGAGCGAUGAGUACUAAUAAUAGCAUUUGGCCUGUAAUUUUGGUUCCAUAUAACCUACCGCCUUGGUUGUGCAUGAAACAACCAAAUUCUAUUCUAUCAAUGAUCAUUCCAGGUCCACGAAUGGUGGGAAAUAACAUAGAUGUAUACUUACAACACUUAUUCAGGAGUUGAAUGAGUUGUGGAGUGAAGGUGUACAGACUUUUGAUUCAUCAAAGAAUGAAAUGUUUAGAAUGCGGGCAGCUCUUUUGUGGACAAUUAGUGAUUUUCUGAGACUCGGUAUCUUAUCUGGUUGGAACACAUAUACCGGUUUUGCAUGUCCAUCUUGUAAUUUUGACAUGAAACCUUGUCGACUUACUCAUAGUAGAAAGUGGUGCUUUGUUGGUCAUCGUCGAUUUUUGGCAAGAAAUCAUAAAUUCAGAUUAAUGAGGAAUCAUUUUGAUGGAACUGUAGAAGAAAGAACCCCCCCCCCCCCCCCCCAAAAAAAAAAGUUAUCUGGAUCUGAUAUUUUGCAACAAGUGACAAAUAUUAAUGUUACAUUUGGAAGACAAGAAAAGUUGAAUGAUAAAAUAAAAAGAAAAAGAAAAAAAAAUAGACAAAGCAGUGUGGGUGAAGGUUCAACUAAACAGUGGAAGAAAAAAAGCAUAUUCUUCAAUCUUCCUUAUUGGGAAUCCAACUUGUUGCGCCGUAAUUUAGAUGUUAUGCAUAUUGAAAAAAAUGUUUUUGACAAUAUUAUUCAAACUCUGUUAAAUGAUAGAGAAAAGUCAAAGGAUCACAUUUAAGCUCGAAAAGAUCUACAAGAUAUGGGUAUAAGGGAAGACCUUUGGGCAGAUGAGAAUGGUGAUUUUCGGCUUGGUGCAUUUACAAUUCCAAAGGAUAAGAAAGUGACCUUCCUUACAACUUUAAAGAAUAUCUUAAUGCCCGAUGGUUAUUCGAGUAAUAUAUCUCGUUGUAUACAUCUAGAAUCAAAGAGGAUCUUUGGAUUAAAAAGUCAUGAUUGUCACAUCAUUAUGGAACAAUUACUGCCGAUAGCAAUUCGUAAUGUGCUUCCAAAUCAAGUUGUAGCAAUUUUGGUAGAGUUCUGUUCUUUUUUUAGACACAUUUGUCUGAAAAACUUGAGCCUCAUGGACCUUGAAAAACUAUAAAAACGAAUUGUUAUCACUCUUUGCCACCUAGAGAUGUUGUUCCUUCCAUCCUUUUUUACUGUAAUGGUUCAUUUAACUGUCCAUUUAGUGGACGAAGUAAUACAAGGUGGUCCAGUACAUUAUCGAUGGAUGUAUUUUGUUGAAAGAGUGUUAGGUCAUUUCAAGUCACUUAUAGGGAGCAAAUCACAGGCAGAAGGAUGUAUAGCUGGUCAAAAAAUUGAAGAAGCUCUAACUCUUUAUUCUCAUUAUUUUGAGGAUAUCG